CCUACGGGAGGCAGCAGUGAGGAAUAUUGGUCAAUGGACGCAAGUCUGAACCAGCCAUGCCGCGUGCAGGAAGACGGCUCUAUGAGUUGUAAACUGCUUUUGUACGAGGGUAAACGCAGAUACGCGUAUCUGUCUGCAAGUAUCGUACGAAUAAGGAUCGGCUAACUCCGUGCCAGCAGCCGCGGUAAUACGGAGGAUUCAAGCGUUAUCCGGAUUUAUUGGGUUUAAAGGGUGCGUAGGCGGAUUGAUAAGUUAGAGGUGAAAUGGCCGGGCUUAACUCGGGAACUGCCUCUAAUACUGUAGAUCUAGAGAGUAGAUGCGGUAGGCGGAAUGUAUGGUGUAGCGGUGAAAUGCUUAGAGAUCAUACAGAACACCGAUUGCGAAGGCAGCUUACCAAUCUAUAUCUGACGUUGAGGCACGAAAGCGUGGGGAGCAAACAGGAUUAGAUACCCGUGUAGUC
rnacentral:rRNA from 1 species